AUAACUGGAAAAUGUCACUUGUCUCAUGUGGCUGGAAGAAUGCUACAGCAGGUACAGGCACCAGGAAAAGGUGGAGAUGGAAAUCUAGGACCAUGUACAUGCAUUUGCAGAGCUGAAGGAGCCAUGAAAACACUUGUCACAGCAGAUGAUCCCCUCAGAGGAGGUCUGGCUCCCAGACAGCCUAAAUGGCCAGAACAGAUGGAAAACAACUCAUGAAAUUAAUUAGCAAGGCUUGAGUAAGCUGGCCAGGCUGAGUCAGCUCACAGCACUCAUUUUGCUAACCAGAAGGCAAACAAGACUCCAACCAAACACA